UAGGGAAUAUUGGUAAUGGGCGCAAGCCUGAACCAGCAACGCCGCGUGAGCGAUGAAGGCCUUCGGGUUGUAAAGCUCUUUUUAUGGGGACGAGGAAGGACGGUACCCAUAGAAUAAGCCUCGGCUAACUACGUGCCAGCAGCCGCGGUAAAACGUAGGAGGCAAGCGUUAUCCGGAUUUACUGGGCGUAAAGCGCGUGCAGGCGGUUUGGAAAGUUGGAUGUGAAAGCUCCCGGCUUAACUGGGAGAGGUCGUUCAAUACUUCCAGACUAGAGGAUGUGAGAGGAGAGUGGAAUUCCGAGUGUAGUGGUGAAAUGCGUAGAUAUUCGGAGGAACACCAGUGGCGAAAGCGGCUCUCUGGCACAUUUCUGACGCUCAGACGCGAAAGCUAGGGUAGCAAACGGG
rnacentral:rRNA from 1 species